rnacentral:rRNA from 1 species
CCCUUAGAUGUUCUGGGCCGCACGCGCGUUACAAUGAAUCGUUCAACAGGUUUCUUCCUGAGUCGAAAGGCUUGGGCAAUCCUUUAAAUACGGUUCGUGCUAGGGAUAGAUUUUUGCAAUUAUUAAUCUUGAACGAGGAAUAUUUAGUAAACGCAGGUCAUCAGCCUGCAUUGAUUACGUCCCUGCCCUUUGUACACACCGCCCGUCGCACCAACCGAUUGGAUGUUUUGUUGAAAUAUGUGGAUGCUUGUUGGGUGAAUUCAUUUUUGCUUGAUAGACAGAAACGUAUUAAAACUGAAUAUCUAGAGGAUGGUGAAGUCGUAACA